rnacentral:rRNA from 1 species
ACUUUCAACAACGGAUCUCUUGGUUCUGGCAUCGAUGAAGAACGCAGCGAAAUGCGAUAAGUAAUGUGAAUUGCAGAAUUCAGUGAAUCAUCGAAUCUUUGAACGCACAUUGCGCCCGCUGGUAUUCCAGCGGGCAUGCCUGUUCGAGCGUCA